GUGCUCACGCCAGCAGCACCAAAAUGAGAAUGAUGCAGAGGAGGUUUGUGUGGCCCUGGGGCAAGGAGGACACCCAGAUGAAUGAAGCUGUCCAUAUUUUA
rnacentral:snRNA from 1 species